GCCGGAGUGGCGAAACAGGCAGACGCAAGGGACUUAAAAUCCCUCACUCGCAAGAGUAUCCGGGUUCGAUUCCCGGCUCCGGCACCA
rnacentral:tRNA from 1 species